rnacentral:rRNA from 1 species
AGUUAGCGACUAAGCGUACACGGUAGAUAUACACGGCAGUCAGAAGGCGAUGAAGGACGUACUUUAAUCUGCGAUAGCGCCGGUAGGUGAUAUGAACCGUUAUAACCGGAGAUUUCCGAAUCAGAAACCCGGUGUGAUUCAUCACACUAUCAUUAACUGAAUCAUAGGUUAAUGAGGCGAACCGGGAGGCUGAAACAUCUAAGUACCCGAGAAAAGAAAUCAGCAAUUCCCCAGUGGCGGCGACGAGCAGGGGAGGCAAGGCCUGAAUCAGCAUGUGUGUUAGUGGAAGCGUCUGGAAAGGCGCGCGAUACAGAAGUGACAGCCCCGUACACAAAAACGCAUGCUGUGAAGCUCGAUAGUAGGGCGGGACACGUGGUAUCCUGUAUGCGAAUAUGGGGACCAUCCUCCCAAGGCUAAAUACUCUAUUUGAAGCCGAUAGUGAACCAGUACCGUGAGGAAAGGCGAAAAAGAACGGCGAGGGAGUGAAAAAAAAAGAACCCUGAAACCGUGUACAUGGCCACAAGCAGUAGGAGCACAGAGUUUUACCUGUGACUGCGGCCUGCUACCUUAUAAUGGGUCAACGACUUAUAUUCUUAGCAAGGUUAACCGUAUAGAAGUGGAGAAACCGGAAGUCUUAACCGGGCGUUGAAUUUGCAGGUAUAGACCCAGAGAAACGGUGAUCUAGCCAUGGGCGAGUUGUGAGUUGGAAGUAACACUGCUGGAGGACCGAACCAUUUAUGUGUUGAAAAGUAGCGGAUGACCUGUGGCUGAGGGUGAAAGGCCGAAAUCAAACCGGGAGAUAGCUGGUUCUCCCCAGCUAUUUGGGAAGUAGCGCCUCGUGAAUUCAUCUCCGGGGUAAGAGCACUGUUUCGGCACAGGGGCCAUCCCGGCCUUUACCAGCCGAUACAAACUGCGAAUACCGGAGAAUGUUAUCACGGGAGACACACGGCAGUGCUAACGUCCCGUCGUGAAGAGAAGCACAACGAACCGCCAGCUAAAGGUCCCAAAGUCAUGGUUAAGUGGGGAAACUUGAUGGGAAGGCCCAGACAGCGAGGAUGUUGGCAGAAACGGCCAUCUCAUUUAAAAGCGUAAUAGCUCUUUUGGUCGGAGAUCGGCCUGCGCGGAAGAAGAUGUAACGAGGCUAAACAAUACGCCGAAGCUGCGGCAGCGACGCUGAUGCGUUGUUGGGUAGGGAAGCGUUCUGUAAGCCUGUGAAGGUGUGUCGUGAGGCAUGCUGGAAGGUAUCAGAAGUGCGAAUACUACGGCAUAAAGUAACUGUAAAGCGGGUGAAAAGCCCGCUUUCGCCGGAAGACAAGGGUUCCUGUCCAACGUUAAUCAGGGCGAGGUGAAGUCGACUAAGAGCGAGGCCGAAAGGCGUAGUCGAUAGGAAACAGGUUAGCAUAUUCCUGUACUCGGUAUUGUUACUGCGAAGGGGACGGAGAAGGCUAUGUUGGCCGGGCGACGGUUGUCCCGGUUUAAGCGUGUGGAAUUAUUGGCGGUGAUAAAUCCGGUUCCGCUAACUGUGAGGCGUGAUGACGAGGCACUACGGUGCUGAAGCAGCAAAUGCCCUGCUUCGAGGAAACCUCCAGCAUCGGGGCUAACAUCCGUCCGUACCCCAAACCGACACGGGUGGUCAGGUAGAGGGCUGCAAGGCGCUUGAGAGAGAACUCGGGUGAAGGAACUAGGCAAAAAUGGGCGCUACGUAACCGGGAGAAGGCACGCUGACAUGUAGGUGAAGUGAUUUUACUCACGGAGCUGAAGUCAGUCGAAGAUACCAGCUGGCUGCAACUGUUGUAAAGCAGCACUGUGCAAACACGAAAGUGGAUAUUAUACGGUGUGACGCCUGCCCGGUGCCGGAAGGUUGAGGUGAUGGGGUCAGCGCAAGCGAAACUCCUGAUCGAAGCGGUAAGCAGCGGCCGUAACUAUAACGGUCUAAGUGUGAGGUUGCUUGUCGGGUAAGUUCCGACCUGCACGAAGAUGGCAUGGCCAUUGGCGAGGCUGUCUCCGCCGAGACUCAGUGAAAUUGAACUCGCUGUGUAAGUACGGCAGUGUACCCGCGGCAAGACGGAAAGACCCCGUGAACAGCACUAUAGCUUGACGCACUGAACGUGAGCCUUGAUGUGUAGGAUAGGUGGGAGGCUUUGAAGUGUGGACGCCAGUCUGCACGGAGCCGACAGCGAAAUACCUACGCACAAUGUUUUGAUGUUCUAACGUGGACCCACGUUACCCGGAGUUGCGGACAGUGUCGGUGGGUAGUUUGACUGGGGCGGUCUCCUCCUAAAGAGUAACGGAGGGCACGAAGGUUGGCUAAUCUGGUCGGACAUCAGGAGGUUAGUGCAAUGGCAUAAGCCAGCUUGACGCGGCGUGACGGCGCGAGCAGGUGCAGCAGGUCAUAGUGAUCGGUGGUUCUGAAUGGAAGAGGGCCAUCGCUCAACGGAUAAAAGGUACUCCGGGGAUAACAGGCUGUUGAUACCGCCCAAGAGUUCAUAUCGACGGCGGUGUUUAGCGCCUCGUGUCGGCUCAUCACAUCACGCGCGGGGCUGAAGUAGGUCCCAAGGGCCUGGCUGUUCGCCAUUUAAGGUGGUACGCGAGGCACAAGGUUUUGGGGAACACGUGCGUGAGACAGUUCGGUCCCUGCCGUGGGCGCUGGAGGGAGCUGAGGGGGGCUGCUCCUGAGUACGGAAGGACCGGAGUGGACGCAUCACUGGUGUUCGGGUUGUCAUGCCAAUGGCACUGCCCGGUGGCUAAAUGCCGGAAGAGAUAAGUGCUGAAAGCAUCUAAGCACGAGGCUUUGCCCCGGAUAGGUUCCCUGAGACUUAGAGGUCUCCUGAAGGAACGUUGAAGACGACGACGUUGAUAGGCCGAGAUUGUGAAAGCGCGGCGUGCGUUGAGGCUAGCCGGUACGCCUGUGAACUUAAAUGAGGCUUAACGCA